UUCUGAAUGUUUAUAUGCAGAAAUGGGGGGACUCGAGUCAAGACACGAGUUGCCAGUUUUAAUGACUUACUUGCUAAAUACUUGAGACGUGGUAGCCAAGAGACUUGACUUGGACUUGAACAGCAUGACUAGACAAGUCAAGUCUUUUUUUUGUUUUGUUUUUGAAGCAAGGAAGGAAACGUUGUUUUUUGGGGCAGCAAUCGCGUCAACCUGGCAACACAGUUUGCAUUGUGACGCACUUGCCAGUGUGACGUAGGCACCUCCAUGAACAACGAUGGAAGGAGCUCCAAAUAUAAUGCGGAUUCAAGGAUUAUGUCAUCUUUAAAAAGAGAAUGGCCACCUGCUUUGUUUACAGCUCGCGCAUUAAAGACACAACAACAACAACAACAACGACGUCGAACUUCGUCCGUCUCUACAAAACUCACAAAAACAGAUGCCGCGCCCUCCUCCCGCUCCUCCUCCGCUUCCUCGUCGGCCUCCUCCUCGUCCUCCGACUUGCUGCCGUUAAACGGGUUUGUUGUGGGGGUAGCCGGCAUGUCAGAUGAUUCUGAAAAGAAGGGUUCGUGUUUUAUUUUAAUGACGCUCGAUCAUUCAGGUGUUUAAGCCUUGGCGGAGGUCUGUGCCGUCGUGAUUUAAAAAGAAUGUCCAAUGUGUUGUAUGAAAGUCACGUAAUGUAAUGUAAAUUCAGUCAGCUACCUGAAGUGUCGUUGCCGUCUUUGCUGGGCUUGUCCAUCUCACAGUUUAUGAUCUCAAUCGCGUCCUGCUCACCUCUGGCGGGGAGAAAAACAUAAAAAAUGAAACAUACAGACUCAUUCUAAAUACACACACAAAAUCCCCACCAACCUUAAAAAAAAGACUUUUUUAAAAGCGUUGUCCUACUCACUGGGUUGGCGUCGUAGGCGUGUCGCUGCUGUGAGAAUUGGCCUUGAUCGCGUCUGCGCAUUGUGUGAUCAGACACUGCCACCUGUGGGCAACGAAAGCGGAAUGAAGCGGGACGAGGCGGUCGUUACGGCGACGCGGCGGGCAGAACUUACGUCCUCUGGUCGGACACGCUCUGAGCCGUCAGCUCGUAGAUCUGCGCGCCGUUUUCCGACAUGGAGAGCACGAAGAAGGACUUUUUGUCUUUAGGACACAGAGAGCGGACACCAAUACAUCUUAACCGCUUAAAAGCGAGAGGAUCAUGUAGCAUCUAGCAUGUACGCACUCAUGAACCCAUGUUACAUAAACGACUAUUUGGUGGUUCGGCUAUUCCACAC